UCCCAGACUCCUACGGGAGGCAGCAGUGAGGAAUAUUGGUCAAUGGGAGAGAUCCUGAACCAGCCAAGCCGCGUGAGGGAAGACGGCCCUAUGGGUUGUAAACCUCUUUUGUCGGAGAACAAAACCCGGGACGUGUCCCGGACUGCGUGUGUCCGAAGAAAAAGCAUCGGCUAACUCCGUGCCAGCAGCCGCGGUAAUACGGAGGAUGCGAGCGUUAUCCGGAUUUAUUGGGUUUAAAGGGUGCGUAGGCGGAAUAUCAAGUCAGCGGUAAAAAUUCGGGGCUCAACCCCGUCGUGCCGUUGAAACUGGCGUUCUUGAGUGAGCGAGAAGUAUGCGGAAUGCGUGGUGUAGCGGUGAAAUGCAUAGAUAUCGCGCAGAACUCCGAUUGCGAAGGCAGCGUACCGGCGCCACACUGACGCUGAGGCACGAAAGCGUGGGGAUCGAACAGGAUUAGAUACCCCAGUAGU
rnacentral:rRNA from 1 species